rnacentral:rRNA from 1 species
CAGGCUUAACACAUGCAAGUCGAGGGGCAGCAUGGUCUUAGCUUGCUAAGGCCGAUGGCGACCGGCGCACGAGUGAGUAACACGUAUCCAACCUGCCGUCUACUCUUGGACAGCCUUCUGAAAGGAAGAUUAAUACAAGAUGGCAUCAUGAGUCCGCAUGUUCACAUGAUUAAAGGUAUUCCGGUAGACGAUGGGGAUGCGUUCCAUUAGAUAGUAGGCGGGGUAACGGCCCACCUAGUCUUCGAUGGAUAGGGGUUCUGAGAGGAAGGUCCCCCACAUUGGAACUGAGACACGGUCCAAACUCCUACGGGAGGCAGCAGUGAGGAAUAUUGGUCAAUGGGCGAGAGCCUGAACCAGCCGAGUAGCGUGAAGGAUGACUGCCCUAUGGGUUGUAAACUUCUUUUAUAAAGGAAUAAAGUCGGGUAUGCAUACCCGUUUGCAUGUACUUUAUGAAUAAGGAUCGGCUAACUCCGUGCCAGCAGCCGCGGUAAUACGGAGGAUCCGAGCGUUAUCCGGAUUUAUUGGGUUUAAAGGGAGCGUAGAUGGAUGUUUAAGUCAGUUGUGAAAGUUUGCGGCUCAACCGUAAAAUUGCAGUUGAUACUGGAUAUCUUGAGUGCAGUUGAGGCAGGCGGAAUUCGUGGUGUAGCGGUGAAAUGCUUAGAUAUCACGAAGAACUCCGAUUGCGAAGGCAGCCUGCUAAGCUGCAACUGACAUUGAGGCUCGAAAGUGUGGGUAUCAAACAGGAUUAGAUACCCUGGUAGUCCACACGGUAAACGAUGAAUACUCGCUGUUUGCGAUAUACGGCAAGCGGCCAAGCGAAAGCGUUAAGUAUUCCACCUGGGGAGUACGCCGGCAACGGUGAAACUCAAAGGAAUUGACGGGGGCCCGCACAAGCGGAGGAACAUGUGGUUUAAUUCGAUGAUACGCGAGGAACCUUACCCGGGCUUAAAUUGCAGAUGAAUUACGGUGAAAGCCGUAAGCCGCAAGGCAUCUGUGAAGGUGCUGCCUGGUUGUCGUCAGCUCGUGCCGUGAGGUGUCGGCUUAAGUGCCAUAACGAGCGCAACCCUUGUUGUCAGUUACUAACAGGUUCCGCUGAGGACUCUGACAAGACUGCCAUCGUAAGAUGUGAGGAAGGUGGGGAUGACGUCAAAUCAGCACGGCCCUUACGUCCGGGGCUACACACGUGUUACAAUGGGGGGUACAGAGGGCCGCUACCACGCGAGUGGAUGCCAAUCCCCAAAACCUCUCUCAGUUCGGACUGGAGUCUGCAACCCGACUCCACGAAGCUGGAUUCGCUAGUAAUCGCGCAUCAGCCACGGCGCGGUGAAUACGUUCCCGGGCCUUGUACACACCGCCCGUCAAGCCAUGGGAGCCGGGGGUACCUGAAGUGCGUAACCGCGAGGAGCGCCCUAGGGUAAAACUGGUGACUGGGGCUAAG